AGCGAACGCUGGCGGCAGGCCUAACACAUGCAAGUCGUGCGCCGUAGCAAUACGGAGCGGCAGACGGGAGAGUAACACGUGGGAACGUGCCCUUUGGUUCGGAACAACCCAGGGCAACUUGGGCUAAUACCGGAUAAGCCCUUACGGGGAAAGGUUAUCGCCGAAGGAUCGGCCCGCGCCUGAUUAGCUAGUUGGUGGGGUAAUGGCCCACCAAGGCGACAAUCAGUAGCUGGUCUGAGAGGAUGAACAGCCUCACUGGGACUGAGACACGGCCCAGACUCCUACGGGAGGCAGCAGUGGGGAAUAUUGGACAAUGGGCGCAAUCCUGAUCCAGCCAUGCCGCGUGGGUGAUGAAGGCCCUAGGGUUGUAAAGCCCUUUCGGCGGGGAAGAUAAUGACGGUACCCGCAGAAGAAGCCCCGGCUAACUUCGUGCCAGCAGCCGCAGUAAAAC
rnacentral:rRNA from 1 species